rnacentral:rRNA from 1 species
UACGGGGGGGGGCAAGCGUUGUUCGGAAUUACUGGGCGUAAAGGGCGCGUAGGCGGCCUGCUAAGUCGGAUGUGAAAUCCCUCGGCUUAACCGAGGAACUGCAUCCGAUACUGGCGGGCUUGAAUCCGGGAGAGGGAUGUGGAAUUCCAGGUGUAGCGGUGAAAUGCGUAGAUAUCUGGAGGAACACCGGUGGCGAAGGCGGCAUCCUGGACCGGUAUUGACGCUGAGGCGCGAAAGCUAGGGGAGCAAACGGGG